rnacentral:rRNA from 1 species
UACGGGGGGUGCGAGCGUUGUCCGGAUUCACUGGGCGUAAAGGGCGCGUAGGCGGCUGGCUCAGUCGGGCCUGUAAGUGCGGGGCUCAACCCCGUGAUGGGCUCGGGACGGGCUGGCUGGGGCGCGGUCGAGGGAGACGGAAUGCCGGGUGUAGUGGUGAAAUGCGUAGAGAUCCGGCGGAACACCGGUGGUGAAGACGGUCUCCUGGGCCGAGGGCCGACGCUGAGGCGCGAGAGCGUGGGGAGCGAACAGG